AUGAAUAAAACCAUGGUUACAAAGUCUAAAUUCUCUGUGGCCGCUCAAUUUCAAUCCCCCUCUCCUACCCUUCUUCUCCCUCAAAUCUAAACCAUAUUUGCUUCCUUGCUUCCUUAUAAUUAUCUGCAUCCAAUACCUCUCUCUCUCUCUCUCUCUCUCUCAAAAGCUGAGUUUUGCCUUUUGUACUUGCAAGCAGGAGGACCCUUUGUGUCAGAAGGAAAUCCCAACUUCCAAUCUUUAAUGGUUACCUGUUUGUCUCUCUUUCAUCACAAAAGUCACUUCUGUCAGACUAAGUUGUACUAGAAUUGGGAUCCCCACCACCAUCAUAUAACCAGCUCUCAGUCUUGUUUUAGCAUUCGGUACUAGGGAUCUUCUUUGCACCCAACAUGACCCCAAAGGGUGUAUCCCUUAAUCCCAACUCCCGCAAAACUAAGUUUGCUCGUAGAUUUAUCUUUGCCCUCUCGCGAAUGAGAAACCCUAUACCAGUUUCCUCCUCCAUCGAGGAAGAAGUCCGUACACGAAGCCACAAAAUCAAGAUCGCGGCUUAUUUGUCAAUGGCGCGCGCAGUUGGGUCGAGGAGGGCUUGGAGCCGGGCCCUUCUUUUCAAGCUUCGAACCCGUGCAAGGCGCCACAAUAUGAUAAUCAGAAGGAGGUCUUUUCGCUUGAAGAAGAAAAGGAUCAUCAAGAAUGAUCCCCAAGGGGAGCCAAGCCAAACCAAAAAGCUUAGACAACUUGUACCAGGUGGGAAAACCAUGGAUAUGUGUAGCUUGUUGGAGGAGACAGCCCACUAUAUGACGUGUCUUGCCACCCAGGUUAAGGUCAUGCAGACUAUAGCCGAUCACUUCGCUAAAUGAGCAGACCAGAUAAAAAUUUUCUACAUGUAGAGGAUAAGAAGGUGGAUGGUAAGUUUUAUAUAUAUAUGGCAGCAGGCAUGUGUUGGGGUACUUCAUCAAGUUUGGAACAAGCUGUUGGAUGAUAUAUAUUUAUGCCAGUGAUACAAGAUCGAGGGAAAGUACGAGCUGGGUUCCUUUUACUUCUUUCUAAGGCUGAUCAUGAUGAUAGGAUAUUUGGAGGUAAGAAAUGUAUUAAAAUCCUCCAUCGCUACUCACAGCCAGGAUGCAUGCUUAAUAAUGCACGUAGUACUGGCUGUUUAUGAUAGCUAGCGAUUUAACACGGACAACGGAUCUAGCAAGCUAGCUAUAAACGUAUAAAUAAUUUUCUAUUUCAAACUUAA